GGGAUUAUAGCUCAGCUGGUUAGAGCGCUACGCUCACAUCGUAGAGGUCGAGGGUUCGAGUCCCCCUAAUCCCACCA
rnacentral:tRNA from 3 species